rnacentral:lncRNA from 1 species
CAAUCGUUCUAAGGAAAGGUCUACCAAGAAUAAUAGGACAUGUAGGAUUGCAAUCUAUAUCAAGAACAAUGAAAUCUACGGGAACAUAAUUCCUAUUUGCAACCAUAAGAACAUCAUUAAUCCUUCCCGCAGGUUUCUUAAUUGUAGAAUACGCUAGAUGCAAACUUAAAGAGCGAUCAUCAAAUUCACUGAAUCCUAGCACAUCACAUAAAGUUUUCGGAAUCGUGGAAAUGCUAGCACCCAAAUCACACAAAGCAUGGCACUCAUAAUCUUUAAUUUUAAUCUUAAUAUUAUGUUCCCACUCAUCAUAAAGCUUUGUAGGUAUAGUAACUUACAACUCAAGUUUUUCUUCAAAAGGUCUCAUCAUGGCAUCCACAAUAUGUUUAGUAAAAGCUUUAUUUUGAC